rnacentral:lncRNA from 10 species
AACUAUUUUAUGAAAAUGUCCAUUUUCUGUUUAAAUACAGUACUUAUCAUACUAAUGAGGUUUAAUACUUUUAUGUUUAAAAACCGUUUAAAGAUACAGAAUCCUGCUGCGGCAUUUAUUCCCUGCAGUGAACUUUCAACCUUAGGGCCAACUACAAAAGCACACACUCAUGUUGGUACAGAUUUCUCACUAUACUGGAGCCUAGAAAUCUGAGAAUGAGGUAUAGACAGGGUUAGAUUCUUCUGAGUCCUCUUUCUCCUUGGCUUAUAGAUCUGGCUGUGUUCUUUCUUUUUCUUUACAUGUUCUUCCCUCCAUGAGUGUCUGUGUACUAAUCUCUUCUUAUAAGGACACUUCCUAUGAUAAAAGGUAGUGGUGUAUUUUUUGGGAUUAUUAUUCAAACAUCUUCACCAGUCUCUACCACCUAAGAAAAAUGCAAAAACUUGCCCGGGUGCGGUGACUCCCAUCUGUAAUCCCAGCACUUUGGGAGGCUGAAGUGGGCGGAUCACCUGAGGUCAGGAGUUCACGACCAGUCUGGCCACCUUGGUGAAACCCCGAAACCCCGUCUCUAGUAAAAACACAAAAAAUUAGCUGGGUGUGGUGGCGAGUGCCUGCAAUCCCAGCUACUUAGGAGGCUGAGAGAGGAGAAUCACUUGAACCCGGGAGCCGGAGGUUGCAGUGAGCCAAGAUCACACCAUUGCACUCCACCCUGGGUGACAAUAGUGAAACUCAGUCCCAAAAAAAAAAAAAAAAGAAAAAGAAAAAUACAAAAACUCCUUGAAGCAUAGGAACAAAAAGCAGAUAAAGCAAAAAGCAGAAUAGUUGUAUGCUGAGGAAAUUUUAGUGAAUAUUUUAUGAAGAUAACAUUUCCUUUUGAUAUUGUAUUCAAUUUCCAUGUGUUUGCUUUUUUUUUUUUUUUUUUUUUUUUUUUUUUGAGACGGAGUCUCGCUCUGUCGCCCAGGCUGGAGUGCAGUGGCGCGAUCUCGGCUCACUGCAAGCUCCGCCUCCCGGGUUCACGCCAUUCUCCUGCCUCAGCCUCCCGAGUAGCUGGGACUACAGGCGCCCGCUACCACGCCCGGCUAAUUUUUUGUAUUUUUAGUAGAGACGGGGUUUCACCGUGUUAGCCAGGAUGGUCUCGAUCUCCUGACCUCGUGAUCCGCCCGCCUCGGCCUCCCAAAGUGCUGGGAUUACAGGCGUGAGCCACCGCGCCCGGCCGUGUUUGCAUUUUUAUACUUCACUAAUUCAUUCAUUUUUAAAUUAAUUAUUAAUAUUUUUUGGAGACGGGGUCUCAAUCUCUCCCAGGCUAAAGUGCAGUGGCGCAUCACGAUUCACUGCAGCCUCGAUGGUCUCAACAACCCUAUAAAAAGGCAGAGACAUCCAUAAUGAAUAAAAAGCAAUACCUAACUAAUAUGCUGUCUAUAGAAAACGUACAUUAAAUAUAAAGACUCAGAUAGCUAAAAACAAAAAGAUAGAAAAGAUACAUUACACUAGCACCAUUCAAAAGAAAGCCAGAGUGGGCAUGCUAAUAAUACAUAAAGUAGAUUUUAGAACAAGAAAUAUUUCCAGGAAUAUGAGAGACCAUUUCAUAAUGAUGUUUAUUAAGAGAACCUGACAAUCCUAAACAUGUAUG